rnacentral:tRNA from 3 species
GUCAGGAUAGCUCAGUU